AAGUCGGCAGGCCGCCGGGAAAAGGGGGGCGGCUCCGCCGUCAGUCGCGGUCGGCCGGCCUGCGACUUUGCUGUCCUCUCCUGACCCGGGGGCGCAGCUGGGGCGCCCUUUGGCGGUGCGAGCCGCGGUGCGGCCGCGGACUGCCCCAAGGUGAUUUUGACCUUUCUCGCCACCGCGAGUUGGCCUGAGGCGGACCCCGCCGAAUUUUGGAUUAGCCCCAGGUCAAACAGCUUAUCUCUUUCCACCUGUCGCGGAGGAGCGGGGCCCACGGAGGUUGUGUGCCCUCGUCGCCCGUCCGCAUACCGGGCAAGAUCUGUAAGAGGAUGACGUACCUGGCUGUGGCCCGGCCAGGCUAGAUUGCCACCACCGCACCCCCACCGCCGGGACUUGAAACAGCUGAUAAGUGGCUCGGGUAACUUCGAGUGUGGGGCGGCACGAUCUUUCUCGGACCAGGCAUGUCUGGUACAAGUGAAAGCGGAGAGGUGCUGUCGCUGUCGGAGCGCCCUUGAGUUGGGUUUACGUAAAAAUGAGCAUUACCACCGUUUUCAGGAGCACCGAAACGGAGCAAACACUGUUAGGAAGCAGAGUUUGCAACCCUUCGUUUAUCACGGUGGAAACUGAUUUGAAACAAAACAAAACAUUGGACUGGACGACUGGCAAGCAGGAGGGAUUUUUAAGUUUCCAUCACACCCGGUAUCUGAAAGUUUUAUUUGAGAAGAGCUUUUGUUUUCUUACCUUUUUUUUUUUUUUAACCACUUUGUGUUUUAGUUUACAUUGCUGUACAUUCCCGAGAGAAUCUUGUCUGGCAAAUUAUUUUAUUGGUUUCGUUUUUAUUUUUUUUUUUAAGCUGGAUUUUUUUUUUUAUACACCCAGCAAGAUAGAGCUGAGAAGUGAAAAUUAAGAGGUUAAAUUGUUCUUAUGCCUCGGGAGGAGGUAGGAACUGGCAGGACCGAAGAAAGACGCUGAUUUUAUUAGUCACCGCAUAGUAACGGGCACACAGAAACUAGGUGGUGAGGAAGAUUUGGCCAAAAAUUGGUUAAGCAAAACACAUUAGGCCUCUAAAGAAUAUACCGGUGCUUGAACUUCUCUUGGCUGUCACUGACACUCGUCACUCCAAAUACCACACACUACAGCCCGGAAUGUGAAAACAUCACUGAACUAUGCCAGUGAUAAUCUCUUAAAUAAAUAAUAAAGUGUUUUUAAAUGUUA